GUUGCGACAGACGAGUGUGAAACGUUGUGUGUGUGUUUUAAAUAUAUAUGUGUUUAAAAAAACUGUAAAAAGAGAGGACAAAUAUAUGAAACAAUAGCAAAAGGGAGGAGGCGGUGUGUGCGGUGUGUUUGGGGUGCAUUUGGGGGCUGAAAGGCACACUUUCCUUCCUUCCUUCCUCUCUCCCAUUGUGUCUCCUUCAGUUUCACAAAUGGAGCUUUCCUUUUUGGAGUUGUUGUCGUCUUCCAGCUGGGAAAAUGAAAGCCUAAUACCUUCGGAAGGGAAAAAAAAAAUGAAGGUGGGAUGUGUCUGAAGAAUGUCCCCCCUCUUUCAAAAAUAAUAAUAAUAUAAUAAUGACCCUUCCUUGCAUAAUUUCCUCACUGCGUAAUUGUAUUUGCACUUCCAGAAGGCAGCCUUGCAUCUCUCUCUCCCCCUUCCCGUUCCCCUUAUUGGUUUGAAAUUCCAUUAAAUAUAUUGCAGGAGCUCCUAGGUUAAGCUUGAUUUAAAUUUGCAUACAUUUUCAUCUGUUUAGCCAGAAAUAAAAGAAGGCUUGCAGCUCCCCGAAAGUCAUUAAGGCAUUAAGUUCUCUGGGAAGAAGACAGAUCUGGAGGGGGAGAGCGGCGGGAGAGGAGACAGGACCAUAUUCUCCCCAAACAAGUUUAUGUGGUUCCCGCCCGUGCUUGUGGAAGUUCAAAUGAGGAAAAGAUAUCAACAACGUCAACAGAUGGCCUCUAAUUGUAAAUGGCAUGGAACAAAGACGUGAAAGAUGAAGAUACGAACACUUGGAUUCAUGAAUACUGGCCUUACAGUUUCAACACUCUUAAGAGGAACAGGGCCCACCAACACUUUAAGUUAACCAGGGCUAUUGAUCAGAAUGAAUUGACGUCUGCAAAGGCAAGCUAA
rnacentral:lncRNA from 1 species